rnacentral:rRNA from 1 species
GACGAACGCUGGCGGCGUGCUUAACACAUGCAAGUCGAACGGAAAGGCCCUGCUUUUGUGGGGUGCUCGAGUGGCGAACGGGUGAGUAACACGUGAGUAACCUGCCCUUGACUUUGGGAUAACUUCAGGAAACUGGGGCUAAUACCGGAUAGGAGCUCCUGCUGCAUGGUGGGGGUUGGAAAGUUUCGGCGGUUGGGGAUGGACUCGCGGCUUAUCAGCUUGUUGGUGGGGUAGUGGCUUACCAAGGCUUUGACGGGUAGCCGGCCUGAGAGGGUGACCGGCCACAUUGGGACUGAGAUACGGCCCACUCCUACGGGAGGCAGCAGUGGGGAAUAUUGCACAAUGGGCGGAAGCCUGAUGCAGCAACGCCGCGUGCGGGAUGACGGCCUUCGGGUUGUAAACCGCUUUCGCCUGUGACGAAGCGUGAGUGACGGUAAUGGGUAAAGAAGCACCGGCUAACUACGUG